GUGGGGAAUCUUGCGCAAUGGGCGAAAGCCUGACGCAGCCAUGCCGCGUGAAUGAUGAAGGUCUUAGGAUUGUAAAAUUCUUUCACCGGGGACGAUAAUGACGGUACCCGGAGAAGAAGCUCCGGCUAACUUCGUGCCAGCAGCCGCGGUAAUACGAAGGGGGCUAGCGUUGAUCGGAAUUACUGUGCGUAAAGGGCGCGUAGGCGGACAGCUUAGUGAGAGGUAAAAGCCCAGGGCUCAACCUUGGAAUUGCCUUUGAUACUGGCUGUCUUGAGUUUGGGAGAGGUGAGUGGAACUCCGAGUGUAGAGGUGAAAUUCGUAGAUAUUCGGAAGAACACCAGUGGCGAAGGCGACUCACUGGCCCAAUACUGACGCUGAGGCGCGAAAGCGUGGGGAGCAAACAGGAUUAGAAACCCGGGUAGUCC
rnacentral:rRNA from 1 species